rnacentral:rRNA from 1 species
GACGAACGCUGGCGGCGUGCUUAACACAUGCAAGUCGAGCGGUAAGGCUCCUUCGGGAGUACACGAGCGGCGAACGGGUGAGUAACACGUGAGUAAUCUGCCCUUCACUUCGGGAUAACCACCGGAAACGGUGGCUAAUACCGAAUACGACCAGUCUUCGCAUGAGGUGCUGGUGGAAAGUCUUUUCGGUGAAGGAUGUGCUCGCGGCCUAUCAGCUUGUUGGUGGGGUAAUGGCCUACCAAGGCUUCGACGGGUAGCCGGCCUGAGAGGGUGACCGGCCACACGGGGACUGAGACACGGCCCAGACUCCUACGGGAGGCAGCAGUGGGGAAUAUUGGACAAUGGGCGAAAGCCUGAUCCAGCAACGCCGCGUGAGGGAUGACGGCCUUCGGGUUGUAAACCUCUUUCAGUACCGACGAAGCGCCCUGUCGGGUGGUGACGGUAGGUACAGAAGAAGGACCGGCCAACUACGUG